rnacentral:rRNA from 1 species
CUACGGGGUGCUGCAGUGAGGAAUAUUGCACAAUGGGGGGAACCCUGAUGCAGCAACGCCGCGUGGAGGAUGACGCAUUUCGGUGUGUAAACUCCUUUUAUAUGUCAAGAAAAUGACGGUAGCAUAUGAAUAAGCACCGGCUAACUCCGUGCCAGCAGCCGCGGUAAUACGGAGGGUGCAAGCGUUACUCGGAAUCACUGGAGUAAAGGACGCGUAGGCGGGUUGGAAAGUCAGGUGUGAAAUCCUACAGCUUAACUGUAGAACUGCACUUGAAACUUCUAAUCUAGAGUAUGGGAGGGGGAGAUGGAAUUAGUGGUGUAGGGGUAAAAUCCGUAGAUAUCACUAGGAAUACCUAAAGCGAAGGCGAUCUCCUGGAACAUUACUGACGCUAAGGCGUGAAAGCGUGGGGAGCAAACAGGAUUAGAUACCCCUGUAGUC